UUGCAUCGAUGAAAAACGCAGCGAAAUGCGAUAACUAAUGUGAAUUGCAGAAUUCAGUGAAUCAUCGAGUCUUUGAACGCACAUUGCGCCCCCUGGUAUUCCGGGGGGCAUGCCUGUCCGAGCGUCAUU
rnacentral:rRNA from 1 species